UACGAAGGGGGCUAGCGUUGCUCGGAAUGACUGGGCGUAAAGGGCGCGUAGGCGGCUUGCACCGUCAGAUGUGAAAUUCCUGGGCUUAACCUGGGGGCUGCAUUUGAUACGUGUGGGCUUGAGUGCGGAAGAGGGUCGUGGAAUUCCCAGUGUAGAGGUGAAAUUCGUAGAUAUUGGGAAGAACACCGGUGGCGAAGGCGGCGACCUGGGUCGAUACUGACGCUGAGGUGCGAAAGCGUGGGGAGCAAACAGG
rnacentral:rRNA from 1 species